CACACAUGCAUAUAUACAGACAUACUGACAUCCCUACACACAGACAUUCAUUGAUACUGACAUACACACAUACAUUCAUAAUGACAUACAUACAGAAACACAAACAUACAUACUGACAGACAUACAUACACAGAGACAUACUGACAUACAUACAUACAGACACUAACAUCCAUACACACAUUCAUAAUGGUAUACAGACAUACAAUCAUACAUGCAUACAUUCAUACAUGCAUACAGACACUG